UAUGAAUUUUCCUUUAAAAAUUAAUGAAACGCUUUGCAAUGCGCGGCUUAUCUAACAACGGUGCAUAUGUGUACAUAUGUGUAUACAGACCUUUAACACGUCACUAGAUAGCAGAAAACUGGGAUUCAUAACCUAAUUCAUACCAUGUUGAGCAGAACCAUUGUUGGCCAAGCAUUUCGAAACAUGUCAACAUUCCGUUUAGCGCUCGUUCAACUCGCCGUUGACGAAAAUAAAGCUGCAAAUAUCAGUAAUGCAGUAUGUUUCAUCGAACGUGCCAAAGAACAGCAAGCGGACGUAGUCGUAUUACCGGAGUGUUUCAACUCCCCCUACGGAACUCAGCAUUUCGAGAAGUACGCCGAGUCGAUUCCUGACGGUGAAACGAGUCGAGCGCUGGCCGAGGCGGCGAAAAAGUCAGCGACGUACGUCGUGGGUGGUACGAUACCUGAGCGAGAUAACGGCUCGCUGUACAACACAGCAACCGUCUGGGAUCCUCGGGGAAAUCUUAUCGCAAAACAUCGAAAGAUGCAUCUUUUCGACAUCGACAUCAAAGGCAAGAUGACAUUUUUCGAGAGCGAAACUUUGUCACCUGGAAAUUCGCUGACGACUUUCGACGUCAAAGGCUUUAAAAUAGGACUCGGUAUUUGUUACGAUAUUAGAUUCGAGGAAAUGGCUCGUUUGUACAGAAACAUGGGCUGCCACGUACUGCUGUAUCCCGCUGCGUUCAACAUGACCACGGGUCCUCUGCACUGGUCGCUCCUGCAACGCUCCAGGGCCAACGAUAAUCAAUGCUACGUUGCAUGUGUAUCUCCGGCACGCAAAGAAAAAUCAGGCUACGUAGCCUGGGGUCACACGCAGCUGACCAGUCCCUGGGCUCAGGUUCUUCACGAUCUCGACGUCGAGGAAGGCUUCGUCGUUGCGGAUAUUGAUAUGUCAGUGGUCGAAGAAGUGCGAAACCAAAUUCCGGUGUUCAAGCAACGACGGACGGAUCUUUACGACACUAUUUUGAAGAAAAAAUAGUCCGUUUAUAACAAAACUGAAGAGCAUUUAUUUUCGAACUUUUGUAUAAAGCUGUAUAUGGGACUUUUUGCGAUGAGCAUGCACUAAACUUGGAAUUGAGGUUCGUCGGAGCAGGAAAUGGGAAGGAAAUCAUCCGAUUACAGGAGCGUUACGCUGCCACUUUACAGACGCUUUUCGUGUAGCGAUAAUCAAUUAAUUAUUGUUGUAUUUACAAUUGGAACAUGAGGCAAUACAUCGUCAUAACUUGGAGGUGCAAUUAGGCCUUUCGAGUAAUAAACCAUCGGAGAAUCGAUUCCACGCAAAGAUCCUCAUUCGUUGAACUACUUAUUUCAUCGUAUUGAAAUGAUGAAAAAUAAGAAGAAAUCGAAGUGCCUUUUUCUCACUUUUCUCCUUGGGACGAAAAACUUUUCACGUAAUUGCACCAGAUUUUUCGAUUACGACAAAUCGCUUUGAAUUAAUUGCAAAAUCUAUUGCGUCAAUUAUAUUCGUCGAAUCGAAUUGUACGUCUCUCAUUCGUACGCGACAAUUAUUCAAUUCCAAAA
rnacentral:misc_RNA from 1 species